rnacentral:pre_miRNA from 1 species
UCUUACGGCUGAGCAAAGAAAGUGAUUUCUUGAGAUAGAAUCUGCUCCUGGUGACAACCCUGUGAA